CUGUUUGUUCCAGACCAGGACUCUGGCUGAGGAGAGCUGAUGGACGAGCCAAGACUCUGGGGGACGACAUCACUCUACCAUCCAGGAUCCUCGCAAGUUUGCAUUAUCUGGACAUAGUGGACUAGAAACACCUGAGCUGAUCCUCACCUGAUCCUGUUUGGUCGGGGGCAGACACACCUGAGCUGAACCCCAACUGAACCUGACAUCCUGCUGGUCCCAUCUCCUCAGUUCAUCUUAGCCUCUUCUUCCAGAAGACCUGCUGAGCUCAGCAGUCUGAGGCUGAUGUAUCAAUGACCUCCAGUGGGAGUGAUCUUCUUGACCCCACAUGUAACCGUGUGCUUCCACACGCCUUUCCCUCUCGUCUGUCACUAACCUCACUACUUCACUACUCUCUACUGCUUCUUCUUCUUCCUUCUCUGUGGUUCGAACCUUUACAUUGAAGGCGCGUCUCCAUGCCCUCAGAGGGUUCAGCGUUAGGGUUGAGAGUCAGGGUUUAGAGUCAGGGACAGAGCUGGUCAGGGAGGACUGCUUUAACACAAACCUCUUCACUUGCUUUCACGUGCUGUUUGUUCCAGACCAGGACUCUGGCUGAGGAGAGCUGAUGGACGAGCCAAGACUCUGGAGGACGACAUCACUCAACCAACCAGGAUCCUCGAAUCUAGACUGAUGGAGAAGCCGUACAUCUGGAAGGCAAAUCCUGAGGACCACCAGGACUCUACCAUCAAGGAUUCCUCAUAAGUUUCCAUUAUCUGGACAUAGUGGACAAGAAACACCUGAGCUGAUCCUCACCUGAUCCUGUUUGGUCGGGGGCAGACACACCUGAGCUGAACCCCAACUGAACCUGACAUCCUGCUGGUCCCAUCUCCUCAGUUCAUCUUAGCCUCUUCUUCCAGAAGACCUGCUGAGCUCAGCAGUCUGAGGCUGAUGGAUUAAUGACCUCCAGUGGGAGUGAUCUUCUUGACCCCACAUGUAACCGUGUGCUUCCACACGCCUUUCCAUCACGUCUGUCACUAACCUCACUACUUCACUACUCUCUACUGCUUCCUCUUCUUCUUCCUUCUCUGUGGUUCGAACCUUUACACGGAAGGCGCGUCUUCCUGCCCUCAGAGGGUUCAGCGUUAGGGUUGAGAGUCAGGGUUUAGAGUCAGGGACAGAGCUGGUCAGGGAGGGCUGCUUUAACACAAACCUCUUCACUUGCUUUCGGAAUGGUGGUGAUAUUUUGAUAACAUUCAUUUGGGAAAAUGUUUUCCUCUGCUUCCCUUUACAAAAUUGUAUUCAACUUCUGUCAAGUGCUUUUGUUUAUAUAUUAAAAUCCCACAUU